CAGUCGAGCGGAACGAGUUAUCUGAACCUUCGGGGAACGAUAACGGCGUCGAGCGGCGGACGGGUGAGUAAUGCCUAGGAAAUUGCCCUGAUGUGGGGGAUAACCAUUGGAAACGAUGGCUAAUACCGCAUAAUACCUACGGGUCAAAGAGGGGGACCUUCGGGCCUCUCGCGUCAGGAUAUGCCUAGGUGGGAUUAGCUAGUUGGUGAGGUAAUGGCUCACCAAGGCGACGAUCCCUAGCUGGUCUGAGAGGAUGAUCAGCCACACUGGAACUGAGACACGGUCCAGACUCCUACGGGAGGCAGCAGUGGGGAAUAUUGCACAAUGGGCGCAAGCCUGAUGCAGCCAUGCCGCGUGUGUGAAGAAGGCCUUCGGGUUGUAAAGCACUUUCAGUCGUGAGGAAGGUAGUGUAGUUAAUAGCUGCAUUAUUUGACGUUAGCGACAGAAGAAGCACCGGCUAACUCCGUGCCAGCAGC
rnacentral:rRNA from 1 species